GACGAACGCUGGCGGCGUGCUUAACACAUGCAAGUCGAACGGAAAGGCCCUGCUUGCAGGGUGCUCGAGUGGCGAACGGGUGAGUAACACGUGGGUGAUCUGCCCCUUACUUUGGGAUAAGCCUGGGAAACUGGGUCUAAUACUGGAUAGGACCAUGCUGUAGGUGGUGUGGUGGAAAGAUUAGUUUCGGUAAGGGAUGAGCUCGCGGCCUAUCAGCUUGUUGGUGGGGUAAUGGCCUACCAAGGCGUCGACGGGUAGCCGGCCGGAGAGGGGGAACGGCCACUUGGGGACGGUGACCGCCCCGGCACCCCGGCGGGGGGCGGAGGGGGGGAAUUUGGCACAUGGGGCGGAGCCUGGAGCAGGCAGCGCGGGGGGGGGGGUGGGGCCUUGGGGUUGUAAACUCGUUUCAGCCUGGGACAACCCUUUGGGGGCGGGAAGGUGUAAAGAAACCCCCCCGCAACUUCCG
rnacentral:rRNA from 1 species